GUCCAUCUGAUGAGUUAAGCCUUUUUCAACUGAUUUUUAUAGUUCGUUCUUAUGUUGUACUGCUAUACCACUGUCCCAGGUUAGGGGGAGUGUUGGGAUCCCGCUAACAUGUUUAACCCCGCCACAUUAUUUAUGUAUGUGCCUGUCCCAAGUCAGGAGCCUGUAAUUCAGUGGUUGUCGUUUGUUUAUGUGUUACAUAUUUGUUUUUCG
rnacentral:lncRNA from 1 species